rnacentral:misc_RNA from 1 species
UUUCCGUAGGUGAACCUGCGGAAGGAUCAUUCAUAAUCUAUUGUUUUAUGGCACUUUUUAAAAAUCCAUAUCCACCUUAUGUGCAAUGUUAGAUCUCGUCAAUAUUGGCGGGAUUUUUAUACAUCAUCUCAUUCUUUAACUAAUUUGUCUGAAUAAUAUUAUGAAUACUUAAUUCAAAAUACAACUUUCAACAACGGAUCUCUUGGCUCUC